rnacentral:tRNA from 1 species
GCCCCAGUGGCCUAAUGGAUAAGGCAUCCUAAUGGAUGUGGGUUCAAGUCCCAUCUGGGGUU